UUUCCACUUUUUCAUUCAAUCAAAUAUUAAGUUUAAAGCAUUUUCUUGGAGUGCCACGGUCCAGCUUUUUCAUUCAAUCAAAUAUUAUAGUUUAAAGCAUUUUCUUGGUGUGCACGGACCUGGAAGCUUAUUUAUUUUUCGUUGCUUUCAUUUUGGAGAAAAGCUUAUUUAUUUUUCAUUUCUUUCAUUUUGGAGAAAAGUUACACGGUACUUCAUUAUGGGUAAGUGGCGCAUGGUGAUUUUUAUUUGGAGAAAAAGUGUGGUUCACAUCCAGCGGAGGAGAAAAAGUUUUUCAAUUUUAUGGAAGCACACAGCUGAUUUUUUUUUAGAAGUUUUAUACCUUUUCUUCUAGAAUGAAGUAGCUUAGUGAUUUUAUUUUCAAUGUCAUGCGUUUUUAUUUUUGCUAUUCCCGCU
rnacentral:lncRNA from 1 species